CGGAGAAGGCGCAUGAGAGUCGGAGCCCGGAGAUGGGGACUGAGACAAGGCCCCAGGCCCUACGGGGCGCAGCAGGCGCGAAAACUCCGCAAUGCGCGAAAGCGUGACGGGGGAACCCCAAGUGCCGCUGUACUUUGUACGGCGGCUUUUAAGGAGCUUAAGGAGCUCCCUGAAUAAGGGCUGGGUAAGUCUGGUGCCAGCCGCCGCGGUAACACCAGCAGCCCAAGUGGUGGUCGCGUUUAUUGGGCCUAAAGCGCUUGUAGCCGGGUCGGUAAGUCCUUUGUGAAAUCGGGCGGCCUAACCGUUCGGCUUGCAAGGGAUACUGUCAGCCUUGGGGUCGGGAGAGGUCGGAGGUACUUCGGGGGUAGCGGUGAAAUGCUGUAAUCCCCGGGGGACCACCAGUGGCGAAGGCGUCCGACCAGAACGAACCCGACGGUGAGGGGCGAAAGCUUGGGGAGCGAACGGGAUUAGAUACCCCGGUAGUCCAAGCCGUAAAGCAUGCGGGUCAGGUGUAGAGCGUUCCUAGAGGGCGCUCGGUGCCGUAAGGAAGCCGU
rnacentral:rRNA from 1 species